rnacentral:rRNA from 1 species
GACGAACGCUGGCGGCGUGCUUAACACAUGCAAGUCGAACGGUGAAGCGCCUUCCUUUUUGGUGGGUGUGGAUGAGUGGCGAACGGGUGAGUAACACGUGAGUAACCUGCCCCCUUCUUCUGGAUAACCGCAUGAAAGUGUGGCUAAUACGGGAUAUUCUGUGUCUGUCGCAUGAUGGGUCUGGGAAAGAUAUUGUUUCGGUGGGGGAUGGGCUCGCGGCCUAUCAGCUUGUUGGUGGGGUGAUGGCCUACCAAGGCGGUGACGGGUAGCCGGCCUGAGAGGGUGGACGGUCACACUGGGACUGAGACACGGCCCAGACUCCUACGGGAGGCAGCAGUGGGGAAUAUUGCACAAUGGGCGCAAGCCUGAUGCAGCGACGCCGCGGGAGGGAUGGAGGCCUUCGGGUUGUGAACCUCUUUCGCCAGUGAAGCAGGCCUGCCUCGUUUGUGGGUGGGUUGACGGUAGCUGGAUAAGAAGCGCCGGCUAACUACGUG